rnacentral:snoRNA from 2 species
UAGAGGGCAAGAAUGAUGAUUCAAUUAGAUGUGUGAAAGGUGAAUUCCUUUUUGAACUCACAAUUUUGAGGCAUAUCCAUUCAUAUACCUGACUUGCUGCUA